AUACGGAGGGUGCGAGCGUUGUUCGGAAUCACUGGGCGUAAAGGGCGCGCAGGCGGUUUGUCAAGUCAGAUGUGAAAGGCCACGGCUCAACCGUGGAGGUGCAUCUGAAACUGGCAGACUUGAGUACCGGAGGGGAAAGUGGAAUUCCCGGUGUAGAGGUGAAAUUCGUAGAUAUCGGGAGGAACACCGGAGGCGAAGGCGACUUUCUGGACGGAUACUGACGCUGAGGCGCGAAAGCGUGGGGAGCAAACAGGAUUAGAGACCCUAGUAGUCC
rnacentral:rRNA from 1 species